CCAAGGAGUUUAGCGUGUGCGCGAGUCAUUGGGUGUUUAAAACUCAAAGGCGUAAUGAAAGUGAAGGUGUCCCUUGUGGAGCUGAUGUGUGAUCCUGGUCACUUCGGUGCAUCCGGGCGCAACAUAGUCCCGUCCUGAUCGCUUGCGGUGGGGCGGAGACAGAGCGUACGCGCUGAGACCCGAAAGAUGGUGAACUAUUCCUGAGCAGGAUGAAGCCAGAGGAAACUCUGGUGGAAGUCCGAAGCGAUUCUGACGUGCAAAUCGAUCGUCUGACUUGGGUAUAGGGGCGAAAGACUAAUCGAACCAUC
rnacentral:rRNA from 1 species